AUUUUUAUGCGUGAUUUAUUUAAUCUACUUCUACAACAUAAUAGUAAACAAAGAAACGUCUGCUGCUACUGCUCUCUCCUUCGUCUCCAUUGAAUGACAGGCAGCAGCACAGGCAUGUUAAUGCAAUGAUGCCUAUACUAAGAACUGCAGACCAGGAAGUCACCCACCAACUCCAACCAAAAGUGUAACUUUCCAACCAAACAAUUAUUGCCGAAGCAACAUUCAAUAUCUCUACAAUCAUAAAAUUGAACGGAUAGAAUUAAAGGAACAAUAUACGGUAAACCAACUUAUUUUUGGAAUUUUCGCGUAUAGAAAAAUGCGC
rnacentral:lncRNA from 1 species